GUAGCCAUGACAUAUUACUUUAUUGUAAUAGGGCAACAGUUUCAAGAACACCUGUACAAGGGAGGCCUGCAUCAUGGAACACAAACUCCCAAACACACAUGACUUCUCCUGCUUCUUCUCGAGAGCCACGCAUUUCAAGAAGACUUGUACAAGGGAGGCCUGCAUCAUGGAACACAAACUCCCAAACACACAUGACUUCUCCUGCUUCAUCUUAUGUUCCUGGGUCUUGCCUGUGGUUCUACAUGCAUCCAGUCAUGCAGACAGAGAACACCUUAGCCUUUAACUGUCGGAAGCUGUCCCUCUGCGAGGCCUC